GGCACCGACGGUGAGCUGAUGUGUGGGAUUUGUUGGGAUGAUCCCAGAGAGUUGCUUGGUGGCACCUUGAGGUGACAGUGGCGGAGUGGUGAGUGGGUCCGCUGGGCACGGUGUGUGGAACUUGUACGCUCGAUGGAUGUAGACACGUCGAGCAAGCAAGCAGGGCAAAGUGCUGGAAAACCACUGAUGCCAGCGCGGCACAUCCCCCUCGAAUAAGGCGUUUACCAACACCUUCGGUCAUCCUCACUCUCGCUCUAUGUAAAGGGUACGUGGAAUCCAACAGUUUCCUCCGCACCGCCCCUAUGUGCCAUUGGGAGACAGCUGGGGAGGUAAGCCACUUGGUACAGACUAAUACCAGGGAAGGAGACCGGACAUCACAGGGAUUGAGCUCAUGUGUUGCAUCAUCUUUGUUCCUGUGGAUAACCGACCAAAAUAUUGACUUUGUUGUUUUUCUUCACGGCUCCUCUACGCUGCAGAGGCUUUGAGCUUGACCAUCCCAAGUUGCUUGGAUGCCACAAUGGCAUUUCCUACUGAUAACCCAGUGUUCCCUUCUCGGCCAAGCCUCCCCCCCAUCCAUUAAAGUGGAGAUACUACAUGGAGACUUCACUUGCGGCGCUUAAGCGAAAGAUGUGGGCUGGCCCGGCCACAUCGUCCGGCCCAUCCACGGCUCUUGGCCGACGAGAUCGCGAUCGAGAUCGAGAGAAAGGAGAUAGAGAGAAAAUGCUGCGGGUGUCGGAGGAAGAGGGGAACCGGAAGCGGGAGAGCUACGUGGAGAGCUACAGGCAGCUCGGCCGAUCCCUCCUCGAUCUCCAACGCGCCGCCGACCGCGUCUUCGACACCAUCUCGCGAAGGGCAGGAGAGGAACGAGAUAAGCUGACGGAGAUAUCUCGGAGGAUCCAGUUAGCCAAAUUUCUUGGAUUUGGUAAGAGAGUUAUUGGGCGAGUGGUAGCAGUGUCGUGUGUAGUUUUCGAAGCCCUAAGUAAUCCGAAAUUCCCAUCGAGUUGCCUGGACAGUCAUGGCAGUGCUCAAAUAGAUGUGCUGUCUCGUUCUGAACAAGCAUUGACGAUCAAGUCACCAUCCCGAUAUCCAUCCAGCUCUAUUCAAGAAGAGGACUUCCGACCCUUAUUUCCAUAUCAUGGUGGAGAUGCCGAUGAAGGGUCUUCGGUUGCAAAUUUGUUAGUGAAUGGAGGAUUGAAUAGGCAGGAAUUUGGUGCAGAUGGAACACUUGAACUCUUUCAGUUUUUUUCUGAACAAAAUAUUGGAUACCCUUUAAAGGAGACUGAGGCAAAGGUAGAUAAGAAAGAAGCUCUAUUUCACUUCUUGUCUUAGCCUUGCAUUUUAUGAUGAUUAUUCUAGUCUGUCAGCUUUAUUUUAGUUUUUAUAGCUUUUCAUCUUGUUCACUCAAAUGAGCCAUUUGUUUUGACGCCUUUUCUCUCUGAAUGACAACCCCAAAUUGCAUUGCAUUUGAUUGAUGUAAGUACCUUAUAACUUAUAACCUAACUAUCCCUCUAUAUAUUCAAAUGCAAAAUAAGCUUGGCACAUUGAUGCUAUCAAAAUUAGGUUUCUAAGUAAUUUGUCACCAGCUGUCAGUAAAUGAUUGAAAGUACACAAAUCAUACUCCACAUAAGGCAAGCAUAUGGGAAUGUAGGCCACAGCUGAAAUAAAUAAUUUCUGCUGGCAAACUUUUAUGAGAACAUGGUAAUAUGGUUGUUUUGAUACCAUCUCUUUUGAGAUUAUCAAGGAUCACACUCAAACUAAAACAUGCAAGGAAUUGUUGCAAAAUACAUACAAGACUCUGUCCUGUUCUUACAUUUACAGAGGCAUAUGGCUAAGAUACGAGAGGGCUAAGACCUCAGUUAAAACGAGGGUGAGCAUAUCUUUCAUUUGCUGCAGUUUUUUCACUCUAUUCUUCUAGCACCUCCAGUAUGAAGUUUCUUGACCAUCUUCAUUAGUGCAGACAUUGUUUUCUUAGCUUGUAUCAAUCACCCUAAGUCAUUUUUCAUGAUUUAAGACUCGUGGAUGGCUAACGUGCAUAUGUAGUUCCUUUAAUGCUGUGCAUUGUUUGCUUCGUCUUUUAUGUACUUUCUCUAUCUAAAAUUAUCUUAAGUUACCAGAAUUUAAUCUUGGGUGGAUAACAGCCAGUGAUGUUCAAUCAGUCAUCCUAAUUUAUUGGUCUGCUGGGGAAGGUUGGUACCUUUUUUGCGAAUAUCUCAUGAGAACUGCAAAAAUUCCAUGUAUGAACUAUGAAGCAUCAAAAUGUUUCCAUUCAAAUAUCUUUACGCACUUUAGUGCUAGGUAAAACUUAAUAUGCCAAGCUAGACAAAUGUUGUAAAUAAAUAUGCACAACAUAUUUCGAUGUUCAUUUUUUUCUUUUAUAACAUAUCUGUAAAUGAAGUAAUUUCUUGCUUUUCAACACCUUCUAUAUAGCAACAAGUAGUAUGCUUCUUUUGUAUCUUCUAUUAAGUGUUUUCUCACUAUAGAAUGCUAUUUGUGAUAUGAAUUCCUGAUGGAAUAUAUGCAAUACCAUGAUUUCACUUGCUAAUUUUACCAUUCUAGGGUUAUCCAAGACAAGACAUGUUCUUGGAGAAGAUUCUAGAAGCACCAAAAGAUUCUGAUGACAGCUUUCUAGCAUUUGAUAUCUUUACCCCUGUCUCCAAGCUGGAUACCAAAAAGGAUGACCUGCCACCCGUGCCACCAAGUCUGCUG